UAUCGGCUCAAUGUUGUGGCAGCCAAUGGGUGGGAUGCAUGCGUGGCCAGGAAGGGAAGAGGGCGUGGUGACAAGUGUUAUGCCAUGCACUCCUAAGGCUCCAUGGCUGCUGUGGUCGGACACGGUUGUGUGGGCAUUCCCGUGAGAGCCUGUGCGUGGUAAGUAACAGGGGCGAGAGUAAUGGUAGGAUCAACGAGGCCUAGGCAAAGCAGGAGAUGCUGGCUUACCAGGCCCCGUGCCAAGCCGAGCUCAUGAGGUCGGAGAAGACGCCCCACCGGACACAACCUGGCACUGCUCCCAAUCACCAAGAAGUCGAAAUAUUUCAUCGAGCUUCCAUCCAGACGUGUUCUUGAAUGGCGGCCAUUCUGGUGUGAGGAAAUCCUCCCAUUUGCGGCAGCGUUUGGUAUGAUCCCUGUUGGAGACCUGCGUCUUUACCAGUGGAUUCAUAGAACGCUACUCUUUGAAGGCGAGAGAAGAUGUACCUCGGUGCUUUUCACUUGAAAGUCGUCCAUUUUCAUCUUCACCCCAUCGAAGAUCCAAGCCCAAACUCGCAGUGACAAGCAAAGCAGCACAGGGACUCCUAGAGGCUUGGGGAUAUUAUAUUCUAAACAGCACGCACGGAUUGAUUGGAGUCAAGUCAUGUCACACAAGCAGACGAGAUGAUGGACUCUGGAUAUUAACACGUAAGGAGGAAGGAACACCGUGACUUCAAUGGCUUUCCCACCUCUCGGUGACGGUCGUAGAAGCAGAAGCCGUUCCACAGCUUCGUAGCGUGUCGAACAGCGGCUGGUUUCCCCCAUCCAAAGUCCAGACUAUACAUUGGAAAUCUUGGAGAGCUGCCAGAGAUUGGUAAACACAACAUUGGAGUUAUUUUGUUGUUCUUGAGUGUGCUUCGCAAAAGUCUAAUAUUUUCCUUUCAGAUCAU